UGCGAGCGUUAAUCGGAAUUACUGGGCGUAAAGCGCGCGUAGGCGGCUUUGCAAGUCGGGUGUGAAAUCCCCAGGCUUAACCUGGGAACUGCAUUCGAGACUGCAUUGCUAGAGUAUGGGAGAGGGAAGUGGAAUUUCCGGUGUAGCGGUGAAAUGCGUAGAUAUCGGAAGGAACAUCAGUGGCGAAGGCGGCUCACUGGUCCGGUACUGACGCUGAGGUGCGAAAGCGUGGGGAGCAAACAGG
rnacentral:rRNA from 1 species